rnacentral:rRNA from 1 species
AACGAGUUAUCUGAACCUUCGGGGAACGAUAACGGCGUCGAGCGGCGGACGGGUGAGUAAUGCCUAGGAAAUUGCCCUGAUGUGGGGGAUAACCAUUGGAAACGAUGGCUAAUACCGCAUGAUGCCUACGGGCCAAAGAGGGGGACCUUCGGGCCUCUCGCGUCAGGAUAUGCCUAGGUGGGAUUAGCUAGUUGGUGAGGUAAGGGCUCACCAAGGCGACGAUCCCUAGCUGGUCUGAGAGGAUGAUCAGCCACACUGGAACUGAGACACGGUCCAGACUCCUACGGGAGGCAGCAGUGGGGAAUAUUGCACAAUGGGCGCAAGCCUGAUGCAGCCAUGCCGCGUGUGUGAAGAAGGCCUUCGGGUUGUAAAGCACUUUCAGUCGUGAGGAAGGUGGUGUAGUUAAUAGCUGCAUUAUUUGACGUUAGCGACAGAAGAAGCACCGGCUAACUCCGUGCCAGCAGCCGCGGUAAUACGGAGGGUGCGAGCGUUAAUCGGAAUUACUGGGCGUAAAGCGCAUGCAGGUGGUUUGUUAAGUCAGAUGUGAAAGCCCGGGGCUCAACCUCGGAAUAGCAUUUGAAACUGGCAGACUAGAGUACUGUAGAGGGGGGUAGAAUUUCAGGUGUAGCGGUGAAAUGCGUAGAGAUCUGAAGGAAUACCGGUGGCGAAGGCGGCCCCCUGGACAGAUACUGACACUCAGAUGCGAAAGCGUGGGGAGCAAACAGGAUUAGAUACCCUGGUAGUCCACGCCGUAAACGAUGUCUACUUGGAGGUUGUGGCCUUGAGCCGUGGCUUUCGGAGCUAACGCGUUAAGUAGACCGCCUGGGGAGUACGGUCGCAAGAUUAAAACUCAAAUGAAUUGACGGGGGCCCGCACAAGCGGUGGAGCAUGUGGUUUAAUUCGAUGCAACGCGAAGAACCUUACCUACUCUUGACAUCCAGAGAACUUUCCAGAGAUGGAUUGGUGCCUUCGGGAACUCUGAGACAGGUGCUGCAUGGCUGUCGUCAGCUCGUGUUGUGAAAUGUUGGGUUAAGUCCCGCAACGAGCGCAACCCUUAUCCUUGUUUGCCAGCGAGUAAUGUCGGGAACUCCAGGGAGACUGCCGGUGAUAAACCGGAGGAAGGUGGGGACGACGUCAAGUCAUCAUGGCCCUUACGAGUAGGGCUUACACACGUGCUUACAAUGGCGCAUACAGAGGGCGGCCAACUUGCGAAAGUGAGCGAAUCCCAAAAAGUGCGUCGUAGUCCGGAUUGGAGUCUGCAACUCGACUCCAUGAAGUCGGAAUCGCUAGUAAUCGUGGAUCAGAAUGCCACGGUGAAUACGUUCCCGGGCCUUGUACACACCGCCCGUCACACCAUGGGAGUGGGCUGCAAAAGAAGUAGGUAGUUUAACCUUCGGGGGGACGCUUACCACUUUGUGGUUCAUGACUGGGGUGAAGUCGUAAC